rnacentral:rRNA from 1 species
AGUCAAUGAUCGAAAGAUUGAUCUAGUUACUUAGAAAGAUGAAGAUUAUGAAAAAUAAAAUGAAAAAUAAUAAUGAAGAAUAUAAAAUCUAAAUAUAUAUUAAGAAUAAUGAUGAAAAGAUAUAUAAUAGUCUUAACAAAAAUUAGUGCCAGCAGUUGCGGCUAAACUAAGGAGGCAAAUGUUAAUCAUUAAAGGCUUAAAGGAUCCGUAGAAUGAUAUAAUAUAUAAUAGAGUUAUAUUAAAGAAUAAUGAAUAAUUAUAAUGAGAGAUGAAAUCCAAUGAUAAUAAUUAGACAAACAAAAUUGAAGAUAUUAUUCGAGAUAUUAACUAACAUUGAGGGAUGAAGGCAUGAGUAGCAAAACGGAUUAGAUACCCGAGUAGUUCAUGCAGUAAACAAUGAAUACUAAAAUAAAUAUAAGUGAAAACUAAAGUAUUCCGCCAGGUGAGUAUAUUCGCAAGAAUGAAAUCCAAGACAAUAGACGGUUACAGGUGUAGGCAGUGGAUUGUGUUAU